GAGGGCAUAGCUCAGUGACAGAAUACGUGCCUAGCAUGCAUGAGUCCUGAGUUCAAUCCUCAGUACCUCCA
rnacentral:tRNA from 1 species